AACGAACGCUGGCGGCAUGCCUAACACAUGCAAGUCGAACGAGACCUUCGGGUCUAGUGGCGCACGGGUGCGUAACGCGUGGGAACCUGCCUUUAGGUUCGGAAUAACUCAGAGAAAUUUGAGCUAAUACCGGAUAAUGUCUUCGGACCAAAGAUUUAUCGCCUUUAGAUGGGCCCNCGUUGGAUUAGCUAGUUGGUGGGUAAAGGCCUACCAAGGCGACGAUCCAUAGCUGGUCUGAGAGGAUGAUCAGCCACACUGGGACUGAGACACGGCCCAGACUCCUACGGAGGCAGCAGUGGGGAAUAUUGGACAAUGGGCGAAAGCCUGAUCCAGCAAUGCCGCGUGAGUGAUGAAGGCCUUCGGGUCGUAAA
rnacentral:rRNA from 1 species